GACGAACGCUGGCGGCGUGCUUAACACAUGCAAGUCGAACGGAAAGGCCCUGCUUUUGUGGGGUGCUUGAGUGGCGAACGGGUGAGUAACACGUGAGUAACCUGCCCUUGACUUUGGGAUAACUUCAGGAAACUGGGGCUAAUACCGGAUAGGAGCUCCUGCUGCAUGGUGGGGGUUGGAAAGUUUCGGCGGUUGGGGAUGGACUCGCGGCUGAUCAGCUUGUUGGUGGGGUAGUGGCUUACCAAGGCUUUGACGGGUAGCCGGCCUGAGAGGGUGACCGGCCACAUUGGGACUGAGAUACGGCCCAGACUCCUACGGGAGGCAGCAGUGGGGAAUAUUGCACAAUGGGCGGAAGCCUGAUGCAGCACCGCCGCGUGCGGGAUGACGGCCUUCGGGUUGUAAACCGCUUUCGCCUGUGACGAAGCGUGAGUGACGGUAAUGGGUAAAGAAGCACCGGCUAACUACGUG
rnacentral:rRNA from 1 species